UAUUUUGAAAACUAACAGAAAAGAGUGGUGUAGAUUCGCAUGAGUUGCUUGCCUGACACAUAAAAUUAUUUCAGUAAAUUUGAUUUCUUAAAAAUUGGAAGAGAAAGAGCUUUUUUAAAAAAAACAUAACACUCAAUUUGUUCUGUUUCCUACACUCAUCUUGAUCAUAGUUUACACUAGUGUACUAGUCAUCUACACAAAUCACAGCAUAGAAAUCGCGCAUGAAUCGAAACUAUUAAGGCCAAAAUGCAAGAUUCUGUCUUGAAUUUAUAGGGAUUCUCAUGUAUUUUCUUUUCUGCGGAAAAGCUUUAGUAGUAGAGAGAAUCUCUAGGAGUGAUAAAUUCGGUCGUAAUUACGAUCAUAGUAAAUAUUGAACUACACAAUAACAAAAUUAGGAAGUCAUCACAAGGGGGCGCAAUCCGAUUUUGAUUUCUUCAGAGCUCUCUACUUCCAACAGAGGGAAAAAAAAGGGUAACACAAAUAAUGCCAAAUGUGCACUAAAUUCUACUUACCAGGUGUUGGAAAAAUUAGUUCUCUUUCGAAAUCUUUAGUCAAAUAUUUGUAUAAAUAGUUUUGUUUGAAAACAACUUAUCCACUGAUUUUAGAAACGUUGAUUAAGAACGAAAUAAAUAAAAACUAUAGAGAAUAAAUGAUUAGAUGGAGCCUGCGAGUCGAGGCGUGCGAUUGCACUGUCCUAGAAGCAAGAUUGCCCCUCCACGUACGAGGCGCCGGCAAUCACUCCUAGCGAUACAACGACCUCCGUCCACCCCGUCGGCACGGCUUCAGGGUGGCGCAAGAACGAACCGUCACAGCUUUUCAAAGAUCCAGCAAAACAGUGAAGAAGAAGGAGAAGAGAGAAAAGGGGAGAAGCUUAGGCUAGAGUUUCUGUAUGUCACCACCAUCCUAGCCCAGCCACUCACCCUAGUAAAUAAAAGAAGGGUUCCAACGGGAAGACCACCUUCCCGAGGUAGACCGUUGGGGCUGGUUGAGUCCCGAGGUGCGACCCUUCGACUGGACCAAAUCUGGACCUAAUCCAGGUAAGGCCAAAAAUAAAAUAAUAAAAGAAAAAGUGUAACAAAAAAUAAAAUGAACCGGGUUCACGCGCGCCGCCGCCCGGCCCGGCUCGGCUCGUGUAUUUAGACGAGAGCUCCACUCUCAUCACUUCCCAAAUAAUAACAAUGAGAAUAAAGUAGAAUAUAAACCAGAGCAAGUGAGGGUCUCUUUCCAAUGUGGGACUAAACACCACAUGAAAAGAGACCAAAGCUUGGGCUCCCAGGCAAGGCCCAUUGACAGUGGGCUGCCCACAAAGUCCAAAGGCCAAAUUGAAGUUUUAAAACAUAUGAGCAUAUAAAGAAGUUUUAAAUCACUUGUUUUAAAUCAAAAUACUAACACCAGGAAGUGGAAUAGAGAAAAUACUAAGAUCUUCACAUUCCUAUCGCGUUCUAGAUGUUCACUAGAAUAUAUAUAUCUAUACUACUUAUAAAAGCGUGAGUUUUGAAUUUUUCUUCUUUCCAAAAAUGUCUCUAUCUUUUUUACUAAUAUUAUCAUGUCCAGUAAUUUUCAACCAUCCAUUUUAAAUAAAUCUUUAAAUAAUAAUUUAUUCUCAAAUAUAGAUCUUAAGUUUUCGCCAUUGGAUCUCAUCCAACGAACAAAAAUAAAAAUAUCUGUCAUUUUUGUUGACAAAAAUACCCUACAUAUCCGUUAUCUCUCAUCUAUGCUACGUUUCUCAAAUAUUUUUUUUCUACCCACCAAUCAUGUAAUACGUAAAAUUAAACUUAUCUCUUAUCUAACCUAACGUAAUACCCGCCAAUCACGUAAUAUCUCUACUAAUCACUAAAAAAAAUUAAUACCCGCCCAAUCAAAACUAAAUCAUUAAUUAAAUAUAAUUUUAAAUAUUUUUAGCAAAAUAUUCAAUGUUUAAAUAAUACCCACGAAAAUAUUCUCCGCAUUCACAAAUAUAAAAUAUAUUUUAUUCAUUUUAAAUAAAUCUUUAAAUAAUAAUUUAUUCUCAAAUAUAGAUCUUAAGUUUUCGCCAUUGGAUCUCAUCCAACGAAUAAAAAUAAAAGUAUCUGUCAUUUUUGUUGACAAAAAUAUCAUCCAUACCCGUUAUCUAAUAUCUACGUUACUCAAAUAUUUUUUCUAUUCAUAAUACGUAAAACUAAAUUUAUCUCUUAUCUAACGUAAUAUCCGUCAAUCACGUAAUACCUCCGCUAAAUUUAUUUUCUAUCCAAGCGUUUUCUCAAAUAUUUUUUUUUUCAAAUGUAAUACCUACCAAAAUUAAAUUUUAAAUUUGCAAUGCCCGCCAAAAUUUAAUACCCAUGAAUUUGAUAAUUUGAAUUUUAAUUCAUGAUAGUAGAUUUUUCCUUACAUAAGAUAGUAGAUUUAAUUUUGACGAGUAUUAAAAUUUGGCGCGCUUUAAAUAUUGCUAAAAAUUUUAAUACCCCCAAAUCAAAACUAAAUCGUUAAUUAUUCAAUGUUUAAAUAACACCCACCAAAAUAUUCUCCGCGUUCUCAAAUAUAAAAUAUAUUUUAUUCAUUUUAAAUAAAUCUUCAAAUAAUAAUUUAUUCUCAAAUAUAGAUCUUAAGUUUUGGCCAUUGGAUCUCAUCCAACGAAUAAAAAUAAAAGUAUCUGUUAUUUUUGUUGACAAAAAUAUUAUCCAUAUCCGUUAUCUACUAUCUACGUUACUCAAAUAUUUUUUUCUAUCCAUAAUACGUAAAACUAAAUUUAUCUCUUAUCUAACGUAAUACCCGCCAAUCACGUAAUACAUCCGCUAAAUUUAUUUCCUAUUCAAGUGUUUUCUCAAAUAUUUUUUUUUCUCCAACGUAAUACCUACCAAAAUUAAAUUUUAAAUUUGUAAUGCCCGCCAAAAUUUAAUACCCGUGAAUUUGAUAAUUUGAAUUUUAAUUC
rnacentral:lncRNA from 1 species